rnacentral:rRNA from 1 species
AAAUUGAAGCGGUUUGAUCAUGGCUCAGAUUGAACUGGCGGCAGGCUAGCACAUGCAAGUCGAACGGUAGAAGCAGGGAAGCAGCUUGCUGCUUCGCUGACAGUGGCGGACGGGUAGUAAUGUCUGGAAACUGCCUGAUGGAGGGAUAGCUUUACCACUGGAAACGGUGGCUAAUACCGCAUAACGUCGCAAGACCAAGAGGGGACCUUCGGGCACUCUUGCCAUCAGAUGUGCCCAGAUGAGUUAGCUUGUUGGUGAGGUAACGGCUCACCAGGCGACUGACUCCUAGCUGGUCUGAGAGGAUGACCAGCCACACUGGAACUGAAGACACGGUCCCGAACUCCUACAGGAGGCAGCAGUGGGAAAAUGUGCACGGGCGCAAGCCUGAUGCAGCCAUGCCGCGUGUAUGAAAGGCCUUCGGGUUGUAAAAGUACUUUCAGCGGGGAGGAAGGUUUGUGGUUAAUAACCACAGCAGUGACGUCCACUGCAGAAGAAAGCACCAGCUAACUCCGUGCCAGCAGCCGCCUGCGGUAAUACGGAGGUGCAAAGCGUUAAUCGGAAUUACUGGGCGUAAAAGCGCACGCAGGCGGUCUGUCCAAGUCGGAUGGUAAUCCCCAGCGGGCUCAACACAGAACUGCAUUCAACUGGCAGGCUUGAGUACUUAGAGGGGUAGAAUUCCGGUGUAGCAGCGGUGAAAUGCGUAGAAUCUGGAGAUACCGUGGCGAAGGCAUUUGGACGACGCUCAGGUGCAGCGUGAGGCAAACGAAGUUAGAUACCCACGGUAGUUACACGCGCUAAACGAUAAUGUCUGCGGAGGUUGUGCCUUGAGGCGUGGCUUCCAGGGCUUUAACGCGUUAAGUAGACCGCACAGGGAGGUACGGCCCGCAGGUUAAAACUCAAAUAAUUGACGGGGGGGCCGCAAGCGGUGGAGCAUGUGGUUUAAUUCGUGCAGCGCGAAAGAACGCUUACGGUGCGGCAUCACGGAAGUUUUCAGAGAUGAUGUGCCUUCGGGAACCGUGAGACAGGUGCUGCAUGGCUGUCGUCAGCUCGAUGGUGAAAUGUUGGGUUAAGUCCCGCAACGAGCGCAGCCCAUAUCCUUUGUUGCGCCAGCGGUCCCGGCCGGGAACUCAAAGGAGACUGCCAGUGAUAAGAAACUGGAGGGAAUUCAGGGGAUGACGAUCAGGUCAUCGCUGGCCGCCUGACGGGGGCUACACGUGCUACAAUGGCGCAUACAAGAAGCGACUUCGCGAGAGCAAGCGGACCUCAUAAGGGUGCGUCGUGGUCGGAUUGGAGUCUGCAACUCGACUCCAUGAAGUCGGAAUCGCUAGUAAUCAUUGGAUCAGAAUGCCACGGUGAAUACGUUCCCAGGCCUUGUACACCGCCGUCACACCAUGGGAGUGGGUUGCAAAGAAGUAGGCUAACAGCCAGCCUUCGGGAGGCGCUUACCACUUUGUGAUUCAUGACUGGGGGUGAAGUCGUAACAAGGUAACCGUAGGGAGGAACCUGCGGUUGGAUCACCUCGCCA